rnacentral:sRNA from 1 species
UCCUACUUCAUUUGUGAGGACACGGCGC